rnacentral:ncRNA from 19 species
CCGUUAUCAAGAAAGGCGGAGGGACUAGACCCAAUGAAACCUUGGCAACCCUUUACUUUAAAGUAGGUGCUACAUUCUAUUACGCCUAUGGCGUGAAAGAUAACAG